UUAAAUGGCUGCAGUAAUUUGACUGUACAAAGGUAGCAUAAUCAUUAGUUUUUUAAUUAAAAGCUUGUAUGAAAGGUUGGACGAAAUAAAAUCUGUCUCUUUUUAAUAUAAUUAGAAUUUAAUUUUUAAGUUAAAAAGCUUAAAUUUAUAUAAAAGACGAGAAGACCCUAUAGAGUUUUAUAAUUUUAAUUUAUUAAUUAAUUUAGAUUUAUUAAUUUUAUUUUUUUAAAAUUAUUUUAUUGGGGUAAUAGAAAGAUAAAAAAAAUUCUUUUU
rnacentral:rRNA from 1 species